GUCUGCUCUCGGCCUUUUGGCUAAGAUCAAGUGUAGUAUCUGUUCUUAUCAGAAAGUCUGCUCUGGGUCUCUGACUUCACAGAACCCAA
ensembl:snRNA U2 U2 spliceosomal RNA